rnacentral:rRNA from 1 species
AUUGAACGCUGGCGGCAUGCCUUACACAUGCAAGUCGAACGGCAGCAUGGGUGCUUGCACCUGAUGGCGAGUGGCGAACGGGUGAGUAAUGCAUCGGAACGUACCCGGAAGUGGGGGAUAACGUAGCGAAAGUUACGCUAAUACCGCAUAUUCUGUGAGCAGGAAAGCGGGGGAUCGCAAGACCUCGCGCUUCCGGAGCGGCCGAUGUCGGAUUAGCUAGUUGGCGGGGUAAAGGCCCACCAAGGCGACGAUCCGUAGCGGGUCUGAGAGGAUGAUCCGCCACACUGGGACUGAGACACGGCCCAGACUCCUACGGGAGGCAGCAGUGGGGAAUUUUGGACAAUGGGGGCAACCCUGAUCCGGCCAUGCCGCGUGAGUGAAGAAGGCCUUCGGGUUGUAAAGCUCUUUCGGCCGGGAAGAAAUCGCAUCUCCUAAUACGGGGUGUGGAUGACGGUACCGGAAUAAGAAGCACCGGCUAACUACGUGCCAGCAGCCGCGGUAA